GUGCUCGCAUGGACAGCAUCUGUGGUGAAAAUGGACGGAGACAGAGAAGAUUAGCAUCGCCCUUGUGCGUGGGUGACGCACAUGGAACUUGUGAAGUGCUUACAUUUUCU